GACCUACGGGGGGCAGCAGUAGGGAAUCUUCCACAAUGGGCGAAAGCCUGAUGGAGCAACGCCGCGUGGGUGAAGAAGGUCUUCGGAUCGUAAAACCCUGUUGUUAGAGAAGAAAGUGCGUGAGAGUAACUGUUCACGUUUCGACGGUAUCUAACCAGAAAGCCACGGCUAACUACGUGCCAGCAGCCGCGGUAAUACGUAGGUGGCAAGCGUUGUCCGGAAUUACUGGGUGUAAAGGGAGCGCAGGCGGUGAGCCAAGUCAGC
rnacentral:rRNA from 1 species